UACGUAGGGUGCGAGCGUUGUCCGGAAUUAUUGGGCGUAAAGAGCUCGUAGGCGGUCUGUCGCGUCUGCUGUGAAAACCCGAGGCUCAACCUCGGGCCUGCAGUGGGUACGGGCAGACUAGAGUGCGGUAGGGGAGACUGGAAUUCCUGGUGUAGCGGUGGAAUGCGCAGAUAUCAGGAGGAACACCGAUGGCGAAGGCAGGUCUCUGGGCAGUAACUGACGCUGAGGAGCGAAAGCGUGGGGAGCGAACAGG
rnacentral:rRNA from 1 species